rnacentral:lncRNA from 1 species
GAAUCUUUCGCCAUUUAAAAAGGUAUUUGGGAUUAAUUUCUUUCUAAUAUGUUUCACAAAUAUGAUGUGGUUUAUAUUCGGUUGUCCGGAAAGUUCGUGCCAAUUUUUAAAGCAAAUAAAAAGGUCAAUAAAUACUUGCCAUUACAUUUUUAAUCAACCAAAUAUGAACCAUUUUCUUGCACAAUGCGUCUCCACCUUUCCUUUAACUUGAAAAUACCCUCUUCCCAGAAUUGAGGUGAUUUCAUGGCAAAGAAUUCAUCAAGGUCAAUAAAUACUUGCCAUUACAUUUUUAAUCAACCAAAUAUGGACCAUUUUCUUGCACAAUGCCAUGAAACCACCUCAAUUCUGGGAAGAGGGUAUUUUCAAGUUAAAGGAAAGAUGGAGACGCAUUGUGCAACAAAAUGAUUCAUAUUUGGCUGAUUAAAAAUGUAAUGGCAAGUAUUUAUUGACCCUUUUCUUUCCUUUAAAAAUAGAAAAGAACUUUUCGGACAAUCCAAUAGCUUACCUAGCUAUUUGUUCCUAUAACCUGUGUUAAUUCUGUAACCCUUUAAAAUGGAAGAAAGAAAGCAUCAAGUGCCGAAAAUGAACUUUCUUAUCUUCCAUUUUAAAAGGUUACAGAAUUAACACAGGUAUAGGAAUAUAAACCUUCUUCCACGAAAAGAUAGCGUAAACUGUGCUCUAAAUGGAGGUGUAGUCAAAUCCUAUUUUAUGGACUCAACCAUGUUCUAAAAUAAGUCGAAAGUUAAGCUACUAUAAAUCGGCCUGAACUUUCCGGACAACCCAAUAAAUAAUAUUUUUACAAAAACUAAAUCAUUUUUUUUAAAACGAAGUAAAUAAAUUAUUUUCUAUAAUAGGCGAAGGAGUGGCUGUGUGGUAAGUAGCUUGCGUACCAACCACAUGGUUCUGGGUUCAGUCCUACUGCGUGGCACCUUGGGCAAGUGUCUUUUACUAUAGCCUCGGGCCGACCAAAGACUUGUAAGUGCAUUUGAAAGAAGCCCGUCAUAUAUAUGUAUAUCUAUAUGUAUGUAUGUAUGUAUGUAUGUAUGUAUCUAUGUAUGUGUGUUUGUGUGUCUGUGUUUGUCCCCCGAACAUCGCUUGACAACAGAUGCUGGUGUGUUUACGCCCCCGUAAGCUAGCGGUUCGGUAAAAGAGAGCGAAAGAAUAAGUACUAGGCUUACAAAGAAUAAGUCCUGGGGUCGAUUUGCUCGACUAAAGGCGGUGCUCCAGCUUGGCCACAAACAACUGACUGAAACAAGUAAAAAAAAAUAAAUUAUAAAUAUCUCCCUUCCUGUUUUUGGUAACUUGACACAUUUUUUAAGGCGAGGAAAAAUAUAAUUUACUCUUUUACUUGUUUCAGUCAUUUGUCCGUUGCCAUGCUGGAGCACCGCCUUUAAUCGAGAAAAUCGACGCCAGGACUUAUUCUUUGUAGGCCUAGUACUUAUUCUAUCGGUCUUUUUGCUGAACCGUUAGGUUACGAGGACGUAAACUCACUACCAUCUGUUGUCAAGUGAUGUUGGGGUGGACAAACAUAGACAUACAAACAUACUUACAUACAUAUAUAUAUAUAUAUAUAUAUUAAUAAAAGAAAUAAAACAUAUGCAUAUAUAUAAACAUAUAUGUACGUACCUACCUCUACAUGUACAUAUACAUGCAUAUAUGAGUACAGGACACCAAAGGGACGUCGAACACAAAGAGAAACGAAAACAUAGACACAAACCAAAGGAACAGGACAUUUUUUUAAAAUAACUAAAAAUGGAGUACAGGACAGUUAACACAACGAAAAAACCCCUUCUUCAGUCGCUAAGGUUUCAUCUACCCUACGUUUCGAAGGAGAUAUAUAUAUAUAUAUAUAUAUAUAUAUAUAUAUAUAUAUAUAUAUAUAUAUAUAUAUAUAUAUACAUAUAUAUAUACAUAUACAUAUAUACGGCGGGCUCUUUCAGUUUCCGUCAACCAAAUACACUCACAAGGCUUUGGUCGGCCCUGGCUAUAGUAGAAGACCCUUGCCCAAGGUGCCCCAGAGUGGGACUGAUCGAGCACCAUGUGGUUGGUAAGCAAGCUACUUACCACAGAGCCACUCUUACGCCUAUUAUAAAAAAUAAUUUAUUUACUUCGUUUAAAAAAAAUUAUUUAGUUUGUUUUAAAAAACCCAUUUUAUUUUAUAUAUAUUCAGCCUUUAAAUACAUACAUGUUUUGCGCAUGCACGCGUGAGUUUUAUGCGCGCAGGAGUGGCUGUGUGGUAAGUAACUUCAUAACCAACAGCAUGGUUCUGGGUUCAGUUCCACUGCGUGUCACCUUGGGAAAGUGUUUCUACUAUAGCCCCGAGCCGUCCAAACCCGCGUGAGUGGAUUUGAUAGACGGAAACUGAAAGAAGCCCGUCGUAUAUAUGAAUAUAUAUAUAUAUAUAUGUAUGUGUGUAUGUUUGUAUGUCUAUGUUUGUCCCCCCCCUCCCGCCAACAUCGCUUGACAGCCGAUGCUGGUAUGUUUAUGUCCCUGUAACUUACACACCUACGUGAAAUUUGCAGGACACAUAUUCACCCAUACGAAAACACGUGUCAGAAAUGAAGUAAAAGCCAAAAACGAAACUUUAAUUUAUUAUUUUACAAUUUUCGAACUAACACAGAGUGAACCAUCCAUAAGUUUAAAAACAACACAAAAAAAAAAAUGGGAGUGGCUGUGUGGUAAGUAGCUUGCUUAUCAACUACAUGGUUCUGGGUUCAGUCCCACUGCGCUGCACCUUGGGUAAGUGUCUUCUGCUAUAGCCCCGGGUCGACCAAAGCCUUGUGAGUGGAAAGGUAGACGGAAACUGAAAGAAGCCCGUCGUAUAUAUAUGUGCAUAUAUAUAUACAUAUUAUAUAUAUAUACAUACAUACAUACAUAUAUAUAUAUAUAUAUAUAUAUAUAUAUAUAUAUAUAUAUAUAUAUAUACAUAUAUAUAUACAUAGGAGUGGCUGUGUGGUAAGUAGCUUGCUUACCAACCACAUGGUUCCGGGUUCAGUCCCACUGCGUGGCACCUUGGGCAAGUAUCUUCUACUAUAGCCUCGGGCCGACCAAAGCCUUGUGAGUGGAUUUGAUAGACGGAAACGGAAUAAAGCCCGUCGUAUAUAUAUAUAUGUGUGUGUGUGUGUGUGUGUGUGUGUGUGUGUGUGUGUGUUUGUGUAUAUGUAUAUACAUCGAGGGAAGUUGUUGACAAACAACUGCAGUAAUUUUAUUCAGCUGAAUACACGUCAUUGAUUGGUUGAAAUUACCGAAAUACGAGAACUUUAGCAAGAAAUAACUUGCAAAAUACAGAAUUUUCUCAACAACGCCAAGAAUAAAAGAUGUUUUAUAUGACACAUUCUACAAGUAUACGAAGUUUGAAAGUCUUUAGUUAUAAAAAAUUGUUUUCUAAAUAUGGCGGUCAAAAGGUCAAGACCCAAUUUUGAUGUUGCCUCCGCUCUAAUAUUAUUAACUAACUACAUUUUUAGUGAAACAAAUAUAUAGCCGUGUAUAUUUUUGUCUUUUAUUAUCAGGACCCGGGACUGCCAUUGAACUCAACACGAUAUCAAUCAUGAAGAAGUUGAAACCACUGCCGAAAGAAAUUCUUUCAAUCAUCAUCGUUAAGUGUCCACCUACCAUACCAUCUAUGUGAUCACGUGUGCACGUGACUACACAUGCGCGUAAUAUUGUAUUUUUCUGGAUGCUGUAUAUAUAUAUAUAUAUAUAUAUAUAUAUAUAUAUAUAUUUAAAUGAAUGAAUGAAUUAUCCUUUGUUUACUGUUAACAUGGAAAAUUCAAUAAACAGCUACCAUGGUAUCAAAAUUCACGCAAGUAACACGGAUGAAGCGACCUAUUCAAAGGUAGAAACUCCGGGUUAAUGUGCAGUAAUUUGUGUAGUAUAAGUAAAUAAAUGGAGUUGAACGCAGAUGCUAUUCAAAUUCUUUUACUUUCGACAUGUGUUUCGAAGACAACAUUGGUUUUAUUCCAAAGGAAUAAACGGUGUAAAUGCAAUCUUCUCAUCAGGAAAGAAAGAGAGCCUAUCUCAACAACAAGACGUUAUAACAAUUACGAUGACUGCAUAAAUGAUAAACAGAACGUUAUUAAGUAUUUUUAAAAAAACGCUAGUAGAUUCGACGUCAAAGGCAGAUACUAGAAAGAGAAGGGUUAAAGAAAUAAUAAGUAGUGAACAAAUAAAGAGGGAUACGUUAGUUGAAAAAAUGUUCAAAGGCUUAGAAGUAGAUUUCUCUAUUGAAGUAAAGUGCAAGUUAAACUAACUGUUCAAACUAUAAAGACUGGUAAAAUCACUUAUAUGAGCUAACAUUUGUAAGAUCGCUUACAUUUGUAAGAUCGCUUACAUUUGUAAGAUCGCUUACAUUUGUAAGAUCGCUCUAUAAGUGUAUUAACACUCUAUAAGUGUAUUAACAAGGUAAUUUUUAGAGAAGAGAAUAUGGAAGAGUUUAGAGUUGCAAAUGUUACAAAAUCCCUUGCCCUUAUCGUAAGGAAAAGAUAUGGAUAGGAUGAACCAAUCUAACUUAAAAUCUUUAUUGUUGUCUUUAAGAUGCCAAACCAAUUUACUUAGCCCUGUGCUAUGACGUUUACUGCUAUCUCUAAAUGAUGAAUAAUGAUAGGAAAUUCUCUUAGAUAACUGGGAAGAGGAUGCUCCAAUGUAGAAGUAGACAUCGGUACCGCAAGAAAUUUUUCACUGGUAUAUAGAAUUCUUGAUCUUAGAAUUAUUAGACAUAAAUUUAAUUCUGUUGGGGUUGUCCUCAGAGACCAAAACCAUGUUUUAUUGCUAUUAUUAUUAUUAUUAUUAUUAUUAUUAUUAUUAUUAUUAUUAUUAUUAUUAUUAUUAUUAUUAUUAUGUGAGGGGCUGGAAUUAACAAAAUUAAUGUUGGAACUCCCAGAAAAUGAACUUUUAUUUAGCAGACUGGUAUUAUGAGAAGAUAUAAUUUGUGAAAGAUUCUUUGUGUUGGAGAAGGUAACCCUAACUAUAUGAGAGUUAAUAAUCGAAUAAUAUCUAGAAUUUUUUGGAAAGUUUUUACCAACCACUUCACGGAAUUGUAAAGGAAGAUUAGAUUUAAUUUGUUUUCCAAACGGAAUUACAAACCAGAUAGUUUUCCGAGUAACAUUCAAAUUGUAAGUGGUAUUAUCUUUAAAGGACGGUGAAAUAAAUCUAGAGUGAAAAAUGGGCUUAAAUAAUGCUUGCCUCCCUUACCCCGUAAAGGAAUAUUAUGUUUUGUGUUGUUUACAAUAUUAGAAUUAAAAUCACUCUUAUUAUUACAACUAGAUUUUAUGUCUUGAACAGUAGAUGAAGGACGAGAUUGAGCAGAAUCAAUGUAUGUAACUUUUUCUUUAUACCCAGCUUUAACCAAGGCAGAGUUAUAAAAUUCUGCCUUGUCGUUAAAAAUGUCAACAUUGGCGGAUAACUGAAAUGUUUUUAACUAAAUUCUUAGUAAUUGCCCUAGCGUGAUUACUGGAAGGACUAAUAUACUUGAGAUUCGUGGAAGGUUUGUGGUAUGGGAAGUACGAGUUAUUUUGUAAAUUAAGAGUAAUAUCUAAGAAGUUAGCUUUAGUUAACUCAUCGUCAAAAACGAUGUGAAAGCCCAUUCUACGAAAAAACCUAAUCUAUUCUUAACCUUCUGUAUUUUUUUAUUUGAAAUGUUUUGGGGGUAAAGCAGACAAUCAUCACGAUAUAGACCACCACGGCUGUUUGGGAACUGGUCGGUCAUUUCAUAAAGUAUAUAUAUUCCGACCAAAUCAGAAAUUUGAGCGGAAUCUGAACUUCCCAUUAGGACAUCGAACGCAUUGGGAGUAUCCUUCCGGAUCCACAACUUCUUAUCGAACUUAAUGAUUGAUUUCCUAGCAGCCAGUACCACAUUAAUUUCCUCUCUAGAGAGACCUGCUUUACUGUGUGCAUGGCAGAGUGCCUUAUUGAGUAUAAUAGGGUUGAUUGAUGAAUAGAAGCUAGAUAUAUCAAACUGAAUAAAUUUAGUGUUAACUUUAUUAGUAAUAGAAGUAAAGCAAUCUACAACUGGAAAAGAAUUCGACCAUAAGCUAAGUUUUAAUUUAUUGAUUAAUGUAGGGAUAUACUUAUCUAAGAUGUAUUUACUAAGAGUACCGAUGUCGGAGCUGGAAGGACAUAUAAGCCGUAAUGAUGGGUUAGUAUAAAAGUUCUGUUUGUGGUCUUUUAAAAUAAACCGAGGUUGCCUGGGAUUCAACAGUUCUGUCUUCAUCUGUAAUCCACACGAUUUCAUAAUUCCUUUAGCUUCUAGGUUAGCGUGCCUGAGAGUAUUCGUACCUGUGAUCUUGUAAUUUUAUGGAUCUCCUUUUCGAGCAGUUCCAAACAGUUCUCCUGAUGAGAAGAUUGCAUUUUACACCGUUUAUUCCUUUGGAAUAAAACCAAUGUUGUCUUCGAAACAUAUGUAUGCAUGUGUGUAUGUAUAUGUAUAUAAAUCAGAAAAAAACCCUCUAUUAUCAAUUCAACAAUGAAAUAAUAAAAUUAUACCAUAUAGAAAAAAAUUAAAUAUAAGAUAAAGACAUAUACCAAUGAUUAAGUAAUGUACAAAAUAAUAAAUAAAAAGUAUGUAAUUGAUAAAAUGACUACACGUGUUUC